rnacentral:misc_RNA from 1 species
GAAAGAGUAAUAUUGAAAAGGUUAUCAAACUGUCGGAGGGGGUAGCAAGGGCCACACAAAAGGGCGGAUCAAUAGAAAAAUCCGAUCAAAUCAGUAAGCUGCCAGCCUUAAGGAGAAGGAAGCAUAUAUUAGUAAUUGCUGUGGAUUGUGAUACCGAAUCAGAUCUUAUUGAAAUUAUCAAAAGAAUUUUUGAGGCUUCCAGGGAUAGGAUAUCGGGGUCCAUAGGGUUCAUACUGUCAACAUCACUAACGAUAUCUGAGAUACAUUCUGUUUUUGUUUCUGGAGGCUUGCGCACUACAGAUUUCGAUGCAUUUAUAUGCAACAGUGGCGGGGAACUCUAUUACCCAACUUCAAAUUUGGACGAGUAUUCUGAACUCCCGUUCGCACUUGAUCCUGAUUAUCUUUCACAGAUUG